rnacentral:rRNA from 1 species
UACGGGGGGGGCAAGCGUUGUUCGGAAUUACUGGGCGUAAAGGGCUCGUAGGCGGCCAACUAAGUCAUACGUGAAAUCCCUCGGCUUAACCGGGGAACUGCGUCUGAUACUGGAUGGCUAGAGUACGGUAGAGGGGGAUGGAAUUCCGCGUGUAGCAGUGAAAUGCGUAGAUAUGCGGAGGAACACCGAUGGCGAAGGCAAUCCCCUGGACCUGUACUGACGCUAAUGCACGAAAGCGUGGGGAGCAAACAGG